rnacentral:sRNA from 1 species
CAACCCCGCAGCAAAGGAAGUGCUUCGGAAUCAAGGAUGAUUGACCACCGCCAGGACGGCUGCUGACAGGAUGUCGGAUGGUCAACAAAAAACCCGCUUCGGCGGGUUUUUU